GAUGAACGCUGGCGGCGUGCCUAAUACAUGCAAGUCGAGCGAACAGACGAGGAGCUUGCUCCUCUGACGUUAGCGGCGGACGGGUGAGUAACACGUGGAUAACCUACCUAUAAGACUGGGAUAACUUCGGGAAACCGGAGCUAAUACCGGAUAAUAUAUUGAACCGCAUGGUUCAAUAGUGAAAGACGGUUUUGCUGUCACUUAUAGAUGGAUCCGCGCCGCAUUAGCUAGUUGGUAAGGUAACGGCUUACCAAGGCGACGAUGCGUAGCCGACCUGAGAGGGGGAUCGGCCACACUGGAACAGAGACACGGUCCAGACUCCGACGGGAGGGAGCAGUAGGGAAGCGUCCGCAAUGGGCGAAAGCCUGACGGAGCAACGCCGCGUGAGAGAUGAAGGUCUUCGGAGCGUAAAACUCUUUUAUGAGGGAAAAAAAAAUGUGUAAGUAAAUAUGCACGUCUUGACGGUACCUAAUCAGAAAGCCACGGCAAACUACGU
rnacentral:rRNA from 1 species